UCCUCUGUGAGUGUGUGUGUGUGUGUGUGUGUGUUUGUGUGUGUUGCACCACAGCAGUUAUCUGCUAUCUAACUAGCUCACUGCUGCGGGGUUUCUUUUCUGCACUCUGCUGAGCUCCCAGACAGCAAGAGGUUGCGAAAAGGCUGGCAAGGAGGCGGCAGCAAUCAUAUACCCCCAGCAGAAGACGGUACGAGCAAGGAAGGGUCGAGGCCACGAGAUGAACGGUCCCACCUCUUGCUGGAAUGAGCCUUAAUUUGAUAGGGGUUGGGCUGAGCCAGGACCGUGAGAAGGAAGCUGCUCCUAUUGGAUCCAGAUGUGAGCGGAAGGACAGACAACAGCUCGACUGAAAGCCACCGGACAUGAUGUGGCAGACAAUAGAGGCCGUGGACAGCUGUUAAUCUAGUAACAUCUGGCUCCGUCAACCCACAUUUUUCUCUCCCAUAGUGAAUGGAUACGGACUAUUCUCAGAAAUGACAUGGUGAUCCCUUGAUCCGCUCUUGCAUCAGAUAUGUCUGGCAUGAGAUAGCUGAAGCUAGCACAGACGUGUGCGCACACACACACACACACACAUACAAGCAUCAUUUGCGGUUAUGGGGCAUGGGACAUGAGGUCUCAACAGGAGCCAUUGUAGACUGCACUACCAGGCAGCCACACUGGGGCCCAUUCGCCCCUCUGAUAUGGCUCGAGUCUGAACACCUACGUCAGCCCACAAGCUUGACGUCAAGCACAUGUGUGCUUUGACCAGAAGCCUGCACGAGUUGGUUUCACACAGAGAACAAAAAGGAGGACGGAAAGGGAAGAGAGCACAAUCUUGAUGUCUCAACUAUUUGUAGCCCCUAAAACAGAAACUGAGAUCAGCUUUGAUUAGAACACGCAAAAAAUAAAACAGCAGUAUUAGUAUUUCACAGCAAGCAUCACUGUCAGUCUAAUGGUAUAAUUAUACGUCUGCUCUCAAAUAACUCUGAGGCAUUCUUGGUGCCCACAGUAGGCCAAUGUUCAAAUAAAAUAGCACUCUCUGGUUGACCAGCAGCUGCUGGCUUAUAUAUAAAGAGAAGUGAUACAGAUGCCAAAGGAGACAGCAAUAAAAGUAAAUCAUUUCACCAGUCAAGGGUACAUCAUGUCACAUCGAAUGGGCAGGUUUCUUGGAAUAAAAAAAUAAAAAUCAGACCUUUGUAAGUCAAUAUUGCCCUUUGUUCUUUGUGCUUCUUGUGUAAUACAAUGUUGUAUUCUGUUUUCUGCGUCAGUGCAGGGUAACGGAAUACAACGGUCGUGUCUGGUGUUGUAUUACAUUAGCUAAUAAAUGACAUCCUGAUGC